rnacentral:rRNA from 1 species
CGCGUCCCGCCCCCCCCCC